AUUGAACGCUGGCGGCAGGCCUAACACAUGCAAGUCGAACGAGUGGCGGACUGGUGAGUAAUGUCUGGGAAACUGCCUGCUGGAGGGGGAUAACUACUGUAAACGGUAGCUAAUACCGCAUACCAUCAGAUGCGCCCAGAUGGGAGUAGUUUGUUGGUGUGGUAACGGACCCCCAAGGCGACGAUCCCUAGCUGGUCUGAGAGGAUGACCAGCCACACUGGACCUGAGCGACGGUCCAGACGCGUACGGGAGGCAGCAGUGGGGAAUAUUGCACAAUGGGCGCAAGCCUGAUGCAGCCAUGCCGGGUGUAUGAAGAAGGCCUUCGGGUUUUAAAGUACUUUCAGCGGGGAGGCGUUACCCACAGAAGAAGCACCGGCUAACGCCGUGCCAGCAGCCGCGGUAAUUC
rnacentral:rRNA from 1 species